UACGGGGGGGGGCAAGCGUUGUUCGGAAUUACUGGGCGUAAAGGGCUCGUAGGUGGCCAACUAAGUCAGACGUGAAAUCCCCAGGCUCAACUUGGGAACUGCGUCUGAUACUGGAUGGCUUGAAUUCGGGAGAGGGAUGCAGAAUUCCAGGUGUAGCGGUGAAAUGCGUAGAUAUCUGGAGGAACACCGGUGGCGAAGGCGGCAUCCUGGACCAUUACUGACGCUGAGGCGCGAAAGCUAGGGGAGCAAACGGG
rnacentral:rRNA from 1 species